AAUAUUCAUCGGAUCUCGUCUUUAUGUGUCGUACUAUUAUAACUAUUGUUUUCUUGUCGCGAUUCCUGAGAAACCUUGUUCUCGCGAUUCCCUAGGUUCAGUGCCACAUUGCUAACCGAUCUCUCACUCUCACUCUACCUUUCUUCUUUUCUCUCUCCUCAUCUCUGUCCUCUCAUAUUUUAUCACCCAUCGCCCAUUUUUUUGAAGCCGUUGUCUCCAUUGACAAUCUUUGAAUCUCAUUGCUAUGAAUGGAAAGGUUUCUCGUUUGACAGCUAUGUUUACGAGUUCCAAGUGAUAUUUCACUCCGUUUUUCGCUCUUUCCUGUUGCAGAAAGCCUCGAGAUUCCACAGUGAAAGGGGACCGGUGGCGUUCGGGCAAGAUGAACUUUGAUUAUCUUAAAGAACACGUGGGCUCAUGAUUAUUAGUUAAAUUUGAGAUGUUUUUAUUCUCUAAUCGGAAAAUCUUCAUCCUGAUUCGUUUCAAUCGGGAAAACCCCUGUUCUAUGUAUUUUGCUGUGUGAGCGAUGGUAUUAGGCAGGGGAGAAAGGGAUUUUUAAGUGUUGGAUUCAGAUUGAGUGGGCUAAAGAUUAUUCAUAUAGCUUCCUUUCAUGUGUUUCGUUUGUAUUUCGUUCUUCGGCGGCGAUUGCACAUUUCUAAUUAUUACAGGAUUAUACUGACUGAUCCUAUGUUUUUCUAGGCCUAUUUGGCCGGCUUACAUGGGUUUGUUAUUCAUCGGUCAAUUGAACGGAUAUACUUUUAUUUGAAUUCCUAUCGACGAAAGCUGUUCUUUUCAUAAUCGUAUCUGUUCCUUGCUGAAGAGAUGGACGGGGCUGUUUUUAUUGCCAUAGCAGCCACUAUUGGAAACCUGUUGCAGGGUUGGGACAAUGCUACAAUUGCAGGAGCUGUUAUUUACAUUAAAAGAGAAUUUGAAUUACAGACAAAGCCUACUGUUGAAGGUUUAAUUGUGGCUAUGUCACUUAUUGGCGCUACAAUAAUUACUACAUGCUCAGGACCCAUUUCAGAUUGGUGUGGCAGGCGCCCCAUGAUUAUCUUGUCUUCAGUAUUUUAUUUUAUUAGUGGCUUGGUGAUGCUGUGGUCUCCAAAUGUUUACAUCUUACUCCU